rnacentral:rRNA from 1 species
CACCAGCCCCUCGAGUGGUGGGGAUGAUUAUUUGGCCUAAAGCGUCCGUAGCCGGCCGGGUAAGUUUCCCGUUAAAUCCAGCGUCUCAAGCGUUGGACUGCGGGAAAUACUGCCUGGCUAGAGAGUGGGAGAGGUGUACGGUAUUCUGGGGGUAGGGGCGAAAUCCUUUGAUCCCCGGAGGACCACCAGUGGCGAAGGCUGUACACUAGAACACGUCUGACGGUCAGGGACGAAAGCUGGGGUAGCGAACCGGAUUAGAUACCCGGGUAGUCCCAGCUGUAAACGAUGCAUGCUAGGUGUUGGGUUGGCCACGAGCCACCCCAGUGCCGCAGGGAAGCCGUUAAGCAUGCCGUCUGGGAAGUACGAUCGCAAGAUUGAAACUUAAAGGAAUUGGCGGGGGAGCACCACCAGGCGUGAAGCCUGCGGUUU